UUCAAAUUCCCUCCCGCGUUUUUUUUUCGCCGCUGCUUUCCCCCGGCUUUUUCCCCGUUUUAUGUAUGCAACAAAUGUUGCAUCGGCAAACGGAUGGAGUGGAAUCUCUGCCCGAGUGGGUGCUACCAGUCGUCACAGAAAAAACAUUGAGAAGGGGACCAAAUGGGGGAAAAAAGAAGAAGAAGCGUUCCAAAUGGGUGGACGGGCGU
ensembl:ncRNA ZC64.5 ncRNA